ACCAGUGUCCUUUAGUGGCUCAUGGCAUAAUCACCCUGAAAAACACCAUUCCUGUCAGAAUCCCAGUGCAGGCUGUGAUGAAAGUGAUUCCUCAAAAUAAUUACGUGUCAGAAGAGCAGUCGUAUUGCAAGUCAGUUGCAAAGAAACAGGAAACACAGCUCUGUAAGCUGCCUCGCCAUCACCCUCUGCUCAGAGAUGCCUACAGUGAUGAUGAUAUAAAAGUAGAUAUUGAGGUGGAACGCGAAGAAAAAGAGGAGUGGGCAAAACCUCUGACCCAGUUGUGGCAGUGUCGACCUUAUAACCCCCAGGUCGAGUGGGAAU